ensembl:lncRNA
UCAGUAUGAAGGGUUGAGAAUAGAGGUGAAAAAGCCAAGGAAUGAGAAGAAUACAGAAGAUACCCAAACAUCUAAUGAAUGCUAUCUUGUUCAGUGGUGAUCUCUCAUAGUUUUCACAAGUUGACACACAAUAUAUUGCUGUGCAGAUGGGACAAAUAAUCAUGAAGUCCCUUUCAUGAUUCUCCAAAUGAAGGGUAUAGAUAUACAGCUAAAAUCUACUCAUCCAUUUUCAGUUGCCUAGCAAUGGCACAACUGCAAAGGAAAGAAUGGUAUGUUGUGUGUGAUACAUUUUUUUAUUGUUAUCAAUAAUCUUGUGUCCACACAGUUCUCCUUCAUGAUGAUCUUGCCUGCCAUCCCAAAUAACUGAUUUUAUUUCCUUGACUUGUCAAACCCAGACUACUUAGUAUGAAGUGAGAUUUUUAACUAAGGAGGGAAUGCAAGGCUUUCCCAUUACAAAAUCAAUUUUAAUUUAGUUUCAAUAUCAAAGUUUGCUUUGAAUAUAUGCUCCUUGAAUUCAGCUAUGUUAAUAGCAAUGCUUAGGUCAGACUAUCUGAAUCAAUUUUAUAAAAAUUCAAGACUAAGCACAACUUUUAUGUUUUUGGCUCAGUCUUGUUUUAGUGUCAUUAACUGAAAAUUGGUUCACUUCCUUUACCAGCUUAUCUAGCUAUAGAUUGUAAGUAAAGAAUGAAGCCAGCCUUAUGUGCACCCUCAGGAGAGAACAGUUCCAAGCAGUUACCUGUGACAGCAGAAAAGAAAUAUGGCCCUAAGUAUUCCUAAGACUCAGCAGUUUCUACACAGCGAGGUCUGCCUCCUGUUGCCCCCUUCUAUCCUACACAUAAUUCUUAUUAAUGUCCUCAUAUUGCACAUUUUAAAUCAUCAUAUAUUUAUGAAGCAGGAGAAAAAGCAAACAAGUAUGGAGCUGUCCCUUUAAAGAAAGCACAACAGACCAGAUCAACGUGGCUUUUAUAUGAUUUUCCAACGUAUUUUCUUUCUUUAGAAGCAAUCAUGGUGCUGAGUUAAGGUAACGAAACAAACAAUAAGAACAACUGCAAACUGAAACAACAACAACGCUGCUCUUUUUUUUUUUUUUUUUUUUCCCCCCACAAAACUAAAGCAUUCUUGGCUAUAGCAUCCCUCUUCCAAAUGACUGUCUACAAAAACUAUUGAAGUAGGUUGGAUUUACAUCCUACAGCUCCAUGUAAAUUUAGUGUGCUUUUUCUCUUCUUGUUUUUUUUUUUUUUCUCCCUUAGCUUUAACUCAGAGAAACUCUCUAGCCUUCACUAGAUCAAUCUGAAAUCUCUGUCCUGCCUUCUGACAACAAGAUUUCUAAUCUGACUCUCACUGUAUACAUAUAUUCUUAUAUAUAUAUUCUUUUCCCUCUGGGAAUUUUCCUACUCAAAAAAGUACUGAGAAUGGCACUUCCACAUUGAAUUUAUCAUAAUAUCCUUAUAAGAUUUGGAGGGAGGCAUGUGCUGGGCACUGGUUUUUCCAGCUUUUGAGUUUCAAGUUCUGCACAGUGUUUGGCAAAACAAAUUGUGGUUCAGUACAGAAUGAAUGCUUCACUGAUGUUGUACUUUUCCAUUUCCCCUGUGGAAUGGUGGAAAUGAUGAUUUGAUCCUUCUUUUCUCAUAGAAAAUGGCAUCUUUCCUCUCCAAUUUUUCUAGUAGCUAGAAAUCUGAAGAACUGUUCUUUCUCUUCUCAGAAGUAUUGCACUCUUUUAGAACUGCAGUAUGUAAGAGAAAUUUUCAUGUCAUUCAUGAGAAAAAAAAUGUAAGGAAUUAACAAGUUUUGCACCAUCAUGUCAAGUCCUGAAAAUCUACAACUUCCAACAGGAUUUGGCUCAUUUGUGUUGUUCAUACGUGUAUAGGUGGAUCUGUUUUGAAGACCUGUUUUGUUCACUUCUGUUUUGAAGACUAAGAUGGUAGUGAGGCUACUGAAGCUAUGUAGAUGAAAGGAUUUACACGCUUGCCUGAAUGGUAGACAGUUCCUGAGGGUUUCAAGAGGAAAACUUGCAACAUCAUAUUCCACAGGCUCUCUCCUCCACUUACAUUUGGGUUUCUAUACUCUUUGUGCUGGAAAGGGGCAUUCUUCUCUACAGAUUAAGACAUUGUUAAAAUUUCAGUACUUCAGUAGGAUCCUAUUUUAUUUACAACAGGUGCUGCUGUGAGCUGAGGAACAGUCCACUACUUCUCAAGAUUGUGAAAGAGCUACACUGUACUAAUUCUAUGAUAUUACUCCCAAGUAUGGUUGAUAUAGCUGAACUUCUAUAAAUGCUAUAGUCAUGAGGCAUGUCAGGUAAGAUAGACAACACUUCUGGUUUCCACAUUCAUCUACCUUUGAAUACUUUUGCCCUGCAUGUAGACCACAGAAAUUUCAUGAUGUGAACAACCUUAGGGAAACAUAUGAAAGCCACUGAAGAAUGGUGUAAAUAGGAGAAAAGAGAGACAUAAAUAGGAUUAAAAUGUAGCAGACACCCUGAGAUAAAUUACUGCCUUGUACUUUAGUGUCAUUUUCAUUUUAAAGUAGUCCUUGUGAGGGAAAGCAAGAGUCAUUUUCAAUCUGGCACUUGAAUACUGAAUUAAUGGAGAAAUGGAAAACCUUGCUGUGGCUUCAGCAGAGAUCCAAAUAUUUUUUCCAGAGACCUUUUCUGCUCCACAUUUAAACAACAUUUGUCUUAGAGAUGCUUGAAUCUAUUUAAAGGUAAACUAAGAUCUCAUUUAGCCUUGUGAUAUUUUCAAGAUUCACCAAGAAGCCGUGACAGUAUGAAGAGAUCAAAAUUAUUAUACUCUAGUGAAAAACAGCUUUGGGAAAAAUGAACUGGUAAACUGACAUUAAAGCCAAUGCUUCAAUAAAAUAUACACCACUAGCACUUUGGCCUAUCUACCAUUCUUAAGGUGCUCCUGAUCUCUUAUUUGAAACUCAUGAGAAUGUUGAGGGAGGCUAUGGAAAUACUGAGGGAAUUAUCUGCAUUAAACUGGGAUCUGAUAAAUUAUCUGCAUUACACUGGGAUCUGGUAAAUAAAAGAAAUUACCUUUUCGGGUAAUUUAUGUCCAAGGUUGAAGAAGGCCUCUGAGAUUAUUUAACUCAACUGUUCACCUACCAUCACCAUUUCCCCACUAAACCAUGACUCUUUGUUCAACGUCUAAACAUUUCUUGAACACCUCCAGGGAUGAUGACUCCACUACCUCCCUGGGCAGCCCAUUCCAGCACCUGACCACUCUUUAGAUGACAUUUUUCUUAAUAUCCAAUCUGAAUCUUCCCCGGUGCAACUUGAGGUUGUUCUCUUUAGUUGUAUUGCUACUUAUGUGGGAGAAGAGGCCAACCCCACCUCAUCACAACCUCCUUUCAAGCAGUUGUAAAGAGCAAUAAGGUCUUCCUUGAGCCUCCUCUUCUCCAGUCCAAACAAUCCCAGUUCCCUCAUAAAGUUCAUGAAAGAAUUUGGUAAAUUCAUGGCCAAAUAUCCAUAAACAGAAACUAAAGCAGGAUACUCACACAUAUACCUUCUAGCAUCACCCGCUGAAUUAUUUUGAGUUCUGGGAGACCACCAGUGGAAAUGGUAGGGUUUGCAUAUUCUUCCUAAGUAAUUUUACCUGUGCCAGACAGAAUACUAGGCUAGAUAGGCCAUCCAUCUGAUGCAGUUGGUGUUUCUUACAUUUGUACUCACAUGUAUAUAUGUGCUCUGACACAACUGAAGUGUACCUACAGCGUAUUCUGUUGCAAGGUACAGACAUAUGUGGGUUUUUUUGUUUUGUUUUGUUUUGUUUUUUGUCGUUGUUUUUUUCUAUCAGGUACAUUAUUGAUCUAGAUAAAAAUAUGUUUUUAAGAGAGCUCUGUAUAUAAGUUAAGGAGCGGAAUUAAUGCGCUGACAUUUUACAAAGUGCCAAUACAAGCUGUUGGACUUAACCUGCUGUCUAGGUUAGUCUAAUUUGGCUUGGCUUUAAAGAGGCUGACUAUUCAGAAUAAUCUGGGUUAAGUUGAUUUUUGCACUAAGCAAACUAAAUCCAAACUGCAAAUCAAUCUUUACUUUGUAUAUACAGAGAGUACGCUAUCUGUUCCAAUGUUUGUUACAUGCUGAAUCAUUCCUCAGUGUGAAUUCUAAGACAAAAAUUCAAAUAGAACUUUCUAGUCCCACUCCUAUUGCCAGUGAGGGACUGCACAUGACGGUUAAUUUCUAAGGGUGCAUCUUCAGUAACUUCAGAUCUGCCUCCAUUAGUAAUGGCUUAUUAAUCUUUUCUGUUAAAUUUAUUGGGAAUUUGGGCUAUUCUGUAAUACUUCAAACAAAGCAGUGCUGUCUUAGUAGCAUCUAAGUAGUACCACUGGGAGUUUAGACAGUAACUUUUUCUAUUCCUCUUCUUCUAUCUGUUAAAUGGAGACUGAAAGGCUUACAGAACUUAGUGUUAUUAAUGUUUGUACAGAUCUCAGGUAAAAAUACCAUAAAAAGGCAAGAUCUGGCUUUAAUAAAAGUUCAGGGCUGUGUCUUAUUUUAUUUAUUUCUUUUUGACCUUUGAAGGGGGUGAAAUCUGAACUUUCUACUGUUCCUAAAUGUAAUUCCUGAUGCUUAUGACUUAGAACUUAAAGUCUCCCGUUUUAGCUGUAGUUAUCAUGAAUUAGUGAUGCAAAUACAUUAUAUUUGAUGCCUUUAAAUUGAGUAUUUGACACUUUAAAACCACAUUAACACUACUGGAGCACUAAGGCUACAAUAACUCGAUUUUAAAAGAUUAUUCCUGUGAAAUCCUAUGAUAGUUUGUAAUUCAAGAGCAACACUUUCUACCUUUGCAUUCUUUAUUCUCAUUGUCUCUUUUCUUCAGUCACCAGAAGAAUCAUGUUACAAAAACAAUGUAGUUAGGUAAGAGGUCCUGGAUAUGUAUGUGGGUGUAUGCAAUACCCUGUACACUCUCACAGUUGAACAGUGAUACAGCAGUUCCUAAACUAGGAAGUAUCUUUCUAGAAGACAUAGUCUUGUAAUAAAAUAUGGUGUAUUCUGUGGGCUGAGACUUCAGCAGAUGUAAUUUUUAAUAACUGCAACCAGCUACAUUUUUAGAAUGCUAUGUUGGUUGAAGAUAAGCGGCUAUCUGGCAGUGCAGAAGUUCAGUUCUCAAUCAGGAGUUUGAUAAGGAGAAUGUUUAUGCUUGUCAGAUCUCUUUUAAAAAGUAAUGGAAUGAUUACAGAAGAAACUUGUUUUCUGGGCUGAAAAGAGACUAGCAAAUAAUUUUAACUUCAUAAGACAACUUCAAUAAAGUUAGAUGCAUUACCAUGAUCAUUUUCAAAAGACUGUUUAACAUGACCAUUUAUAUUAUGACUAAAACAGAUUUCAGGAAGGCAAUACCAGAUGUAUAGAUCUCUAAUGGUAAAAUCAUAUUCAACUACAUAAUAUAUAACAGAUAUAUAUUUUUUUAUACAAAGAAAUAAAGUUUGGAAACAAUUCGUGUAAAAUAAUGAGAUAACCAUUUUGUUGAAAGCAAAGUAUGGGUGCUCUAUUUAAAAGAAUGGAUGGUUCUCAUUACGAUGCCUAUUGUAGGAAAACUACAAGGUGAUACUGCCUUCUGAAAGAUUCCUCCACAUAAUGAAUACUGCUCAAACUUCUAGUCAAUCUAUAUGAAAAGUUACUUCUGGAGACUUCACUUGCAUAAAAGUCACUGUAUCUUGCCAUUAGAAUUCGUUGACAAAUGUAUUUAAUUUAUGUUCGGUGUAAUUGAACUACUCCAUCAUUCCUUCCUGUUUGGACAGUUAUGGCCACUUAGGAGUUUUACGUCACUUUUAACCUUGGAUGAUACCGGUUUUUCUUUUUGAUGGUCCAGAACUAAGAAACUAUAAUUUCAUUGUUCACUCAGCAGUUUUUUUUUGGUUUUUUUUUUUGUCCAUUUAUAUUUUUCCCAAUGUUGGAUCAAUAUAAACUCCUUUAAUAAAGAUAAUGGAAAAUCUCCAUGCUCUUAAUUAAUCCUCUCUUUCCUGUUUUAUAAAUAUUUUUAAAUCUUCCUAUCAUUUUUUCCAUGCUGACAUCUUCAUUUUUUUUUUCUCUUACAGUCUGAUAUUUGGACCCUAUCUUUUCAUAACAUUGAUUAUAUAGAUGCAUCAAUAAAACCUCUAUCUAUAUAUCUGCAUAUAAUUCACCUAUAAAGGUUCUAAAAGAGACAUAUUGCCAGUAAACAUUUAGGCUUUUCCAAUUGGCAUCUUAGGAUGUUCUUUGUCUUACAGGUUGAUAGCAUCAUUUUGAGGGAGGCAAAUAUAUAGAGUACUUCAGGCCUGGAAGAACCUCCAGCAUAACACUAGUAAAGCUCAGGGAUUUACUAGUGGUGAUGAGCUGUCAUCAGGUCUUAAAGGUCUUUAUCUUAAAGAUAGAAAAAGUAAUAAGACAGACUGGACCAUAUGCAUGGGAGGAAACGUCAAUGGUAUCAGAUAUAUAUACGAAUAUUUAAAAAUAUGUGGGGUUAUUUCCCAAUUACUAGUUCAAAGGAAAAAAAAAAGGGGCAAGGAAGAUUAAAAUUUUUGUUUGUUUGUUUGUUUUUUAACUAAAGGAAAAUUAAAAAAAUAAAAAUAAAAAGGAAAAGGAAGAGAAAAACCCUGUACAGAGGAAGAAGCUUUUUCAAUCAAAAUAUUUUUUUUAUCUAGUGUUAGGCAGACAGCCUGCAGAAGAUGACUACCCACUAGCAUUCUAACUUCUCUCUUUAGACAUAUAUCCAAGACUGCUCAUUAGCAUUCCCAAGCAUGUACCAAUUUGAAAAUGUCUUCCUUUCAACUCAGCAAUAUGGAAACCCCAAAGUGCACUUUAUUUGCCUAAUACGUUCCUUCAAGAUGUUCAAAAUCAGUUGUGAGUCUUCUGGUUAUAUUCAAGUGAAAUCCACUCAAAGGAAAAAAAUUCUUUUUACUAAAUAAUGAAGGCAGAGAGUGCAAGAAAAUAUGGUGUUCUGGACUGAGCAGUGGCAAGAAACACAUGGUAUUCUCGUAUGAUUAUAUAUGCAGCACUGUCAUCUUAACAGCAAAGUGUUGUGGUUCUUAUCAAAUCUGAUUACAGAAUCACCAACAGAUAAUAUUAUUUUGCUUGCUAAAAGAAAUAUAUUUUAAAAUGCUCAAAUGAUCACUCAGUAAGUUGAUCAGCCAAAUUCACAAUCAACCAAGAAGAGACCGAUGAGUCCAAUAUUAUUCAGAGCACAAAAAUUUUCCUCCACGUUACUUAUUGUAUUGAUAUUGUUUUUAUUUUCAGCUCCACAAGGAGACAAGGAAAACUCCCUCCAUCCUCCACUCAUAAACAUUACCAGUGUACCUAGAUUUGCACCUUGCUUGUUCUGCUGUGCUAUGUUGAGAUGCUAUUUAUUUCAUCUUGCAUUACAUACUUCCCUGGAAUUAGGAGUGAAUGGAUACCUAGUUACCAGCAAGUCAGUGAUUUUCCUUUGAUCGGAGAACACUCCCACUGUUAGUAGGCUGUGAAAGUUAACAAAAUGUAAAGAACUGGAUCAAAAAAAAGGUAAAUACUGGUUAAAAAAAGUAAAUACAAAAAAUACUCUGUAAUAUGAGCAUGUAAGCUGAAAUUGUAAUCAGGUGGGGUGUAAGUUGUGCUUUAUAAGGCACAAUCAAAGCACAUCAGUAGCUAAUUUGCCUUCAUUUAACUGGUUAAUGGCAUUUUUUAUAACACAGAAGAAUUCAUCCCCUUCCAUCUCAGUUUCCUGUAAAACAGAGCAGCAAUAUUUAUAUACCUCCCAGGGCUAUUGCAAGGAUUCACUAAUUAGAUAUAGAUUUGUUUUCAAAUGGGGUGACUCAACCACUGCUCAGUCUCUCCACUCUGCUCCAGCAGGGUCAGAGCUCAGGCAUCCUGCUUCCUUGGGGGCUCUUUUCUGAGCUUUGGUGAAAUGAUAACAAGGGACUUUGAGAGCUUGCUUUCCUGUACUGCAUGCCAUAUUUCAGGAGAAUUACUAGAUUAUUUAGCAAUAGCUUAAUGAUACAGAAUAGGAAGGAACAUUUUUAGAGCUGGCAUCUUAGUUGUCUGUUCAACAUGCACUGUGUGAGUACACACAGUACAAAUCUCCUCAAAGGAUCUACAGAUGAAAGGAGCUUCCUUGUAGCUUUCUCAACUUUCUUUUUUUGGGAGUUCAGGAUGUGGUUUUCAUCCCAACUUGCAUGUCCAUGCUGUCUUCCAGCCUCUCAGAGACUUCUCUCAACUCCUCAUGCGUUCUGCAACAACUCUUCAAGGGUAACGAGUUGCUACGCAGGAGACCCUGUACACCUGUAGAGUGCAAAAACAAGAAAAAGACCUCUGUAUCCUCCAUUGCUUGGAAGAGAGCAGAGGUAAUCUCAGAGGAGAUUUUCUGAGAAGAUAAUUUUAAAUACUUAGACUCAUUCUUUUCCAACAAAUUUAUUCUUAUGCAUCUCAGUUACUCACUGCAGUUUAAUUAAACUCAUGACAAAC